UUUGUAGAAAAGAAAGACGGUACCUUACGUCCUUGUAUAGACUAUCGGGGAUUGAACAAAAUUACUAUCAGGAAUGCUUACCCUAUUCCUUUGAUUACUGAACUCUUUGACAGACUAAAGGGCUCGAGUAUUUUUACCAAACGUGACUUGAGAGGAGCAUAUAACUUGGUGAGAAUUAAACAAGGAAAUGAAUGGAUGACAGCAUUUAAUACCCGUUACGGGCAUUAUGAGUAUACCGUAAUGCCGUUUGGGCUUUGUAAC